AGCAUAGCGAUUUGGGAUAAGUCCCUUGGAAAAGGGCAGCAUGGAGGGUGAUACUCCCGUCUCUGCUCGGAUUGUCUGUGUGUACGAUACGCUUUCUUUGAGUCGAGUUGUUUGGGAAUACAGCUCAAAGUAGGUGGUAAAUUCCAUCUAAAGCUAAAUAUUGGUGCGAGACCGAUAGCGAACAAGUACCGUGAGGGAAAGAUGAAAAGAACUUUGAAAAGAGAGUUAAAGAGUACCUGAAACUGUUGAAAGGGAACCGUAUCGUUUCCAGUGUUUUAUCCUGUGCAUAUUUCAUUAGCGGAGCAAUUUGCUGGUGCCCUGUGCAUGGGUGUGACGUCAGAGUCAGUUUGUAUGCUGCGGGAGAUGGUCAGUGAGGAGGUGCGUCACUUCGGUGAAAGUUAUAUCUCGCUGUCUAGUAGCCGUGGUUGAGACUGAGGUGCC
rnacentral:rRNA from 2 species